GGGCCCGUAGCCUAGCCAGGAUAGGGCGCCGGCCUUCGGAGCCGGAGGUCCCGGGUUCAAAUCCCGGCGGGCCCG
rnacentral:tRNA from 1 species